UACGGGGGGAGCAAGCGUUGUUCGGAUUUACUGGGCGUAAAGGGCGCGUAGGCGGCCACCGCAAGUCAGUUGUGAAAUCUCUGGGCUUAACCCAGAAAGGUCAACUGAUACUGCUCGGCUUGAGUCUCGGAGAGGAUGGUGGAAUUCCCAGUGUAGAGGUGAAAUUCGUAGAUAUUGGGAGGAACACCGGUGGCGAAGGCGACCAUCUGGACGAAGACUGACACUGAGGCGCGAAAGCGUGGGGAGCAAACAGG
rnacentral:rRNA from 1 species